UACGGGGGGGGCAAGCGUUGUUCGGAAUUACUGGGCGUAAAGCGUGCGCAGGCGGUUUCUUAAGUCAGAUGUGAAAGCCCCGGGCUUAACCUGGGAACUGCGUUUGAAACUGGGAGACUUGAGUGUGGCAGAGGGGGGUGGAAUUCCACGUGUAGCAGUGAAAUGCGUAGAGAUGUGGAGGAACACCGAUGGCGAAGGCAGCCCCCUGGGCUGAGAUUGACGCUCAGGCACGAAAGCGUGGGGAGCAAACAGG
rnacentral:rRNA from 1 species